rnacentral:rRNA from 1 species
CUGGGAGGACCAUCUCCUAAGGCUAAAUACUCUCUAGUGACCGAUAGUGAACCAGUACCGUGAGGGAAAGGUGAAAAGCACCCCGGAAGGGGAGUGAAAUAGAACCUGAAACCGUGUGCUUACAAGUAGUCAGAGCCCGUUAAUGGGUGAUGGCGUGCCUUUUGUAGAAUGAACCGGCGAGUUACGAUUUGAUGCAAGGUUAAGCAGUAAAUGUGGAGCCGUAGCGAAAGCGAGUCUGAAUAGGGCGUUUAGUAUUUGGUCGUAGACCCGAAACCAGGUGAUCUACCCUUGGUCAGGUUGAAGUUCAGGUAACACUGAAUGGAGGACCGAACCGACUUACGUUGAAAAGUGAGCGGAUGAACUGAGGGUAGCGGAGAAAUUCCAAUCGAACCUGGAGAUAGCUGGUUCUCUCCGAAAUAGCUUUAGGGCUAGCCUCAAGUGAUGAUUAUUGGAGGUAGAGCACUGUUUGGACGAGGGGCCCCUCUCGGGUUACCGAAUUCAGACAAACUCCGAAUGCCAAUUAAUUUAACUUGGGAGUCAGAACAUGGGUGAUAAGGUCCGUGUUCGAAAGGGAAACAGCCCAGACCACCAGCUAAGGUCCCAAAAUAUAUGUUAAGUGGAAAAGGAUGUGGCGUUGCCCAGACAACUAGGAUGUUGGCUUAGAAGCAGCCAUCAUUUAAAGAGUGCGUAAUAGCUCACUAGUCGAGUGACACUGCGCCGAAAAUGUACCGGGGCUAAACAUAUUACCGAAGCUGUGGAUUGUCCUUUGGACAAUGGUAGGAGAGCGUUCUAAGGGCGUUGAAGCAUGAUCGUAAGGACAUGUGGAGCGCUUAGAAGUGAGAAUGCCGGUGUGAGUAGCGAAAGACGGGUGAGAAUCCCGUCCACCGAUUGACUAAGGUUUCCAGAGGAAGGCUCGUCCGCUCUGGGUUAGUCGGGUCCUAAGCUGAGGCCGACAGGCGUAGGCGAUGGAUAACAGGUUGAUAUUCCUGUACCACCUAUAAUCGUUUUAAUCGAUGGGGGGACGCAGUAGGAUAGGCGAAGCGUGCGAUUGGAUUGCACGUCUAAGCAGUAAGGCUGAGUAUUAGGCAAAUCCGGUACUCGUUAAGGCUGAGCUGUGAUGGGGAGAAGACAUUG